rnacentral:rRNA from 1 species
AGGACGAACGCUGGCGGCGUGCUUAACACAUGCAAGUCGAGCGGAAAGGCCCUUCGGGGUACUCGAGCGGCGAACGGGUGAGUAACAUGUGAGUAAUCUGCCCCUAGCUCUGGGAUAGCUCCGGGAAAACCGGGAUUAAUACCAGAUACGACCACUUUAGACAUCUCUUGUGGUGGAAAGAAUUUCGGCUAGGGAUGAACUCGCGGCCUAUCAGCUUGUUGGUGAGGUAACGGCUCACCAAGGCGACGACGGGUA